UACGGGAGGCAGCAGUGGGGAAUAUUGCACAAUGGGCGCAAGCCCGAUGCAGCCAUGCCGCGUGCAUGAAGAAGGCCUUCGGGUUGUAAAGUACUUUCAGUCGUGAGGAAGGUGUUAAGGUUAAUAACCUUAGCAAUUGACGUUAGCGACAGAAGAAGCACCGGCUAACUCCGUGCCAGCAGCCGCGGUAAUACGGAGGGUGCGAGCGUUAAUCGGAAUUACUGGGCGUAAAGGGCACGCAGGCGGUUAAUUAAGUUGGAUGUGAAAUCCCCGGGCUUAACCUGGGAAUGGCAUUCAAGACUGGUUAGCUAGAGUCUUGUAGAGGGGGUAGAAUUCCAUGUGUAGCGGUGAAAUGCGUAGAGAUGUGGAGGAAUACCGGUGGCGAAGGCGGCCCCCUGGACAAAGACUGACGCUCAUGUGCGAAAGCUGGGGAGCAAACAGGAUUAGAUACC
rnacentral:rRNA from 1 species